rnacentral:rRNA from 1 species
UAAGGAAUAUUGGGCAAUGGGCGGAAGCCUGACCCAGCCAUGCCGCGUGAAGGAAGAAGGCGUUAUGCGUUGUAAACUUCUUUUGUAUGGGAAGAAUGACGGGGAUUUAUCCUUGGAGGGACGGUACCAUACGAAUAAGCACCGGCUAACUCCGUGCCAGCAGCCGCGGUAAUACGGAGGGUGCAAGCGUUAUCCGGAAUCACUGGGUUUAAAGGGUACGUAGGCUGUUAGUUAAGUCAUCAGUGAAAGGCCGUCGCUUAACGAUGGGAAUGCUGAUGAAACUGGCUAGCUAGAAUUGAGUUAAGGUAGUCGGAAUGGAUCAUGUAGCGGUGAAAUGCAUAGAUAUGAUUUAGAACACCGAUAGCGAAGGCAGGCUACUGAGCUUAGAUUGACGCUGAGG